rnacentral:rRNA from 1 species
CGGACGGGUGAGUAAUGUCUGGGAAACUGCCCGAUGGAGGGGGAUAACUACUGGAAACGGUAGCUAAUACCGCAUAACGUCGCAAGACCAAAGAGGGGGACCUUCGGGCCUCUUGCCAUCGGAUGUGCCCAGAUGGGAUUAGCUAGUAGGUGGGGUGACGGCUCACCUAGGCGACGAUCCCUAGCUGGUCUGAGGGGAUGACCAGCCACACUGGAACUGAGACACGGUCCAG